rnacentral:lncRNA from 1 species
ACAGAGCGGGGGUUAUACUGUUACAAAGUCAUGCCAUUCGGAUUGAAGAACGCUGGGGCGACAUACCAGAGGUUAGUCAACAAGAUGUUCAAGGAACAAAUUGGGAAGACCAUGGAAGUAUAUAUAAAUGAUAUGCUAGUUAAAAGUCUCCGAUCAUCCUACCACAUCGCCCAUCUCGAAGAAGCAUUUAGCAUUCUACGUCGCCAUCGGAUGAUGUUAAAUCCCUCCAAAUGCAUCUUUGGAGUGUCGUCCGAAAAAUUUUUAGUAUUUCUGGUCACUAAGCGUGGAAUCGAGGUAAACCCGGAUCAGAUCCAAGCCCUGAUCGCGAUGAGCUCGCCCAGAAAUAUUCGGGAAGUACAGCAGCUGACUGGGCGCGUAGCCGCCCUGAACAGAUUUGUCUCCAAAUCUGCGGACAAGUGCCUCGCCUUCUUCAGAAUCCUAAGAAAAACCAGGCCUUUUAAUGGAACGAGGAAUCUGAAAAUGCAUUUCAACAGCUGAAAGAGUAUCUCGGGUCUCCGCCUUUACUUACAGUCCCCACCACCGGCGAAGACCUUUACGUAUAUUUAUCCAUCUCGCCCACCGCGGUGAGUGCUGUGCUAAUCCAAGAAGAAGGUCAAGUCCAAAGGCCAAUAUACUACGUUAGCAAAGUCUUGAUAGGUGCAGAGGUCAGAUAUCCAAAGAUUGAAAAGCUCGCCUACGCCCUAAUGAUCGCCGCCAGAAAACUUCGUCAUUACUUCCAAGCCCAUCCCAUCAUCGUACUGACUGAUCAACCAUUGAAGCAUAUUCUUCAGCGACCAGACACAUCAGGUCGACUCCUUAAAUGGUCCAUCGAGCUAAGUGAAUUCCACAUUGAAUACAGGCCAAGGACGACCAUAAAAGCCCAGGCCCUGGCUGAUUUCAUUGUCGAAUCCACCCAUGAAGACACUCCACAACCUGAAACUGCCCCUCCUGAAGCAGGAAUUCCUGAAGAACCAACCCCAGAAAAAGACCUCGCCCACUGGAUGUUGUUCGUUGAUGGCUCUUCUAACCAGCACGGCUGCGGUGCAGGGCUCGUCGUACGAGCUCCAUCAGGCGAACAGAUGGAGUACGCCAUAAGAAUGAGGUUUAAAGCCACUAACAAUGAAGCCGAGUACGAAACCCUCCUCGCCGGACUAAGAGUAGCAACAGAGUUGGGAGCACAAUCUUUGAAAGUCUUCAGUGACUCACAACUGGUGGUAAACCAAGUUCAAGGAGAUUACCUCGCCAAUGAUUCAAGAAUGAUAGCUUAUUUGGGAGAGGUAAAGGCUGUGUCCGCAAAGAUCAAGGAGUUUAAGAUCCACCAGAUUCCCCAAGAAGAUAAUAAAAAGGCAGAUGCCUUGGCUAAUCUGGCGUCAACUUUUGAGUUUAUUUCUGACAGGUGCAUACCUCUGGAAUUUCUAGCUAACCCAAGCAUUGGGGUCACCAAUCAAAUCCUCCAAACGGAAGAAAAUUCGACGUGGUUGGACGAAAUUAUUGCCUAUCUCCAGAAAGGGAUCCUGCCAAAAGAUAAGCUUCAAGCUCGCCGUCUCCAAUACAGAUCCGCAAGGUUCUGCAUUUUUAAUGGCGUGCUAUAUAAGAGGUCUUUUUUAGGACCACUCUUGAAAUGUCUCUGACCAGAAGAGGCAGAGUACGUUCUACGAGAAAUACACGAAGGCAUAUGCGGAAAUCACUCCGGAGCAAGGUCAUUGGCGAAGAAAACUAUUCGCCAAGGAUAUUUUUGGCCGACCAUAGAACGAGAUGCGGCAGCGUAUAUAAAGAAUGUGACAAAUGCCAGAGGUUUGCCCCCGUCAGCCGUCUCCCUCACACCGAGAUGGUACCGAUGUCCAGCCCCUAGCCAUUCGCCCAGUGGGGGAUAGACAUUCUGGGCCCUCUACCGCAAGCUCUUUUGCAAAAGAGGUUUUUAAUCGUCGCCAUAGAUUAUUUUACUAAAUGGAUAGAAGCUCAACCUCUCGCCAAGAUUAUUGAGAAAAAUACCCGGGACUUCGUAUGGAAGCACCUUGUUUGCAGAUUCGGAGUCCCAAAGGUUAUCAUCUCGGACAACGCAAGGCAGUUCGACAACGACAGGUUCAGGUUAUUCUGCUCGGAUCUCGCCAUCUCCCAUCAUUUCUCCUUGCCCGAUCAUCCUCAAGCUAAUGGGCAAGUUGAAGUAACCAAUCGUACCAUCCUCAGGAAUUUGAAGGCAAGGUUAGAAAGGUCAAAAAGCGAGUGGGCGGAAAACUUGCCGAGCAUACUUUGGGCUUAUCAUACUACUAGCCGAAUUCCUACAGGUGAAACUCCAUAUUCUAUGGUCUUCGGCACUGAAUCAGUCAUACCAGUGGAAAUAGGCAUGCCGAGCUUCAGGAUUUCGAAUUUCGACAAAGAAAGCAAUGAGGCCGAGCUCAGACUCAGCCUGGACCUCCUUGAGGAAAAAAGAGAGAACGCCGACCUACGUCAAAUGGCUUACAAAUGCCAAGUCGCCAAGUACUUUAAUCAAAGGGUCAGG